rnacentral:rRNA from 1 species
UACGGAGGGUGCAAGCGUUAUCCGGAUUUACUGGGUUUAAAGGGUGCGUAGGCGGAUAGGUAAGUCAGUGGUGAAAUCUCCGAGCUUAACUCGGAAACUGCCGUUGAUACUAUUUAUCUUGAAUAUUGUGGAGGUAAGCGGAAUAUGUCAUGUAGCGGUGAAAUGCUUAGAUAUGACAUGGAACACCAAUUGCGAAGGCAGCUUACUACACAGUUAUUGACGCUGAGGCACGAAAGCGUGGGGAUCAAACAGG